ensembl:lncRNA
AUAAUGUCUUCUGUGUCUCUGGGGGGUCUUCCUCAAGUCAGAGAAUACAAGCCUGAUGAUGUCAUUAGGCUAAUUAAGGCUUUUUGUGUUCUAUUCAUGCAAACGUAGGCAGCAACAUUUUUCAACGAGAUUCAUCAGGUCACGUAUUUAUCAAUCCAUUUUUUUGAGGCCUGUGGAUGUAUUUUCCGACAAUGGAAAAUACAUGAAAGGAACUCUGAGCUGUAAAUAUUUAGAUUGUGUGUGUUGGUGGAAGAACUCCACCUAAUCCAGACAUCAUGGAAAACGAAACAAAAAGACUUAAAGGAGAUAUUUAGUUUCCCUUUGUUCGGUUUGAUUGGCAGUGAUUUGCGUGUGUUAUUAUUUCUCUGAAAGCUCAUCUCAGUGAUGAUAGUAUGUGGGAUGAAUUCAGGAUUCGACAAGUAAUCUGCACAUGCUGGAGCGAAAACCAAGGAGUGAGUAUACGCAUGUAUUGUGAGUCCCAGGCUGGGAAGACGGUGAAUAAUGUCGUCUUACACUACAGCUCUGCUUACUCUAAAUGUGGCCUCAGCUCACAGACCGACACACUUACGUUUUCAGCAUUCUUCCAUUCCCCUUGUUUUACCUGUUGUAUUGUUCCCAUUUCAUUCACACUGAGUCUAAAUAGUCCUCAUUCCCCCUCAAUGCAUUAUGGGUUACUCUCUAUUGCAAAUUGGGAUCCCAACAAGCCUGUGGUUUUGUGAGUUUUUCAACCUGGUGCACUAGUUUUUUCUCAGAUGACGGCUGAGGUGAAAGACGACACGUUUCACCUGAGUUUUGAGUUUCAGAUUGUGAAAAACACAGUCACGGUUCACGUUGUUCGUGCGCUUUUGUCUUGGCUUUUUUAACCUUUUUAGCGGCCUCACACUCUGACCCUUCUCUUCAACCACAUGAUGAGAUCUGGCAGCCGUGUGUGUUUGCGUAGCGGUUUGUAUAUUUACUCAAAGACCCCCGAGUCCCUUCAAUACAACGCCACCUUGGCUGAUCCCCCUUUCAGCAUACAUGUGCUGGCUGGUGUAUGUGCACAACUGUGUGCGGGCGUACUUGUGUGUGACCAUUGUUAAUCCUCUGCCACACAAGCUAAUCAAUGCCGUCUCACACCCAUUUGAGUGAAUGCAUGCAUGCGUGCACGCGUGUGUGUGUGCACGCAUGCGUACAGAAAUGUGCAUGUUUGCUCUGCAGAUCUGGAGAUCAGAUGCUGAGCUGCAGAUCAUAUAUCAGUCUUUGGUUGUGUUGCCUUGGGGACGAAGAUCUAAUUAUGCAUUCCGAAAACAAAUUUCUUUUCAACACCAGAGAGAAAACGAAAAUAUCUGUAAAAUAAAACAUUUCCAUGAAGAAAUUAUCAUCGGUUACCUGUUUUGCGGGCAACGCAAUUGAAAAGCAAGUUCACAUUGACCUCUGACCCCUGAAUGCAAUGACGGUGAGCUGACUUUUGUUUGUGGUGCACAAGCUGUUAAUUAAUGAUGUAAAAUGCAAUAAUGUAUUUUUCAGGAUACGAAUGUCUGCCGAUUCUUUUCAUUGGAAGCUACUUUCUAGUGGGGAAGAAGCUCCGCUGAAAACUGUCCAAAGUAAAGUCUGUAUGUCUCAAGAAUGUCAAAUAAAGUUGUGUAAGAAGCA